AUUGAACGCUGGCGGCAUGCUUUACACAUGCAAGUCGAACGGCAGCGCGGGCUUCGGCCUGGCGGCGAGUGGCGAACGGGUGAGUAAUGCAUCGGAACGUGCCCAGUAGUGGGGGAUAGCCCGGCGAAAGCCGGAUUAAUACCGCAUACGACCUGAGGGUGAAAGCGGGGGACCGAAAGGCCUCGCGCUAUUGGAGCGGCCGAUGUCGGAUUAGCUAGUUGGUGGGGUAAAGGCUUACCAAGGCGACGAUCCGUAGCUGGUCUGAGAGGACGACCAGCCAACCGGGGACUGAGCAACGGCCCAGACCCCUACGGGGGGCACAGGUGGGAAAUUUGGGAAAAGGGGGGAAACCCUGACCCAGCCAGGCCGGGGGGGGGAAGAAGGCCUUCGGGUUGUAACCCGUUUUUGUUGGGGAAAAAACCCUUUGGGCUAAUCCCCCGGGGGGAGGAGGGUACCGGAAAAAAAAGCACCGGCAAACUCCGG
rnacentral:rRNA from 1 species